CGCUCGUAGUCGGAUUUCGGGGCGGGCCGACCGGUCUGCCGAUGGGUAUGCACUGGCCGGCGCGUCCUUCCACCCGGAGACCGCGCCUACUCUUAACUGAGCGGGCGCGGGAGACGGGUCUUUUACUUUGAAAAAAUCAGAGUGUUUCAAGCAGGCAGUCGCUCUUGCAUGGAUUAGCAUGGGAUAAUGAAAUAGGACUCUGGUGCUAUUUUGUUGGUUUCGAACACCGGAGUAAUGAUUAACAGGGACAGUCAGGGGCACUCGUAUUCCGCCGAGAGAGGUGAAAUUCUCAGACCAGCGGAAGACGAACCACUGCGAAAGCAUUUGCCAGGGAUGUUUUCACUGAUCAAGAACGAAAGUUAGGGGAUCGAAGACGAUCAGAUACCGUCGUAGUCUUAACCAUAAACCAUGCCGACUAGGGAUUGGAGGAUGUUCCAUUUGUGACUCCUUCAGCACCUUUCGGGAAACUAAAGUCUUUGGGUUCCGGGGGGAGUAUGGUCGCAAGGCUGAAACUUAAAGGAAUUGACGGAAGGGCACCACCAGGAGUGGAGCCUGCGGCUUAAUUUGACUCAACACGGGGAAACUUACCAGGUCCAGACAUUGUGAGGAUUGACAGAUUGAGAGCUCUUUCUUGAUUCGAUGGGUGGUGGUGCAUGGCCGUUCUUAGUUGGUGGAGUGAUUUGUCUGGUUAAUUCCGUUAACGAACGAGACCGCAGCCUGCUAAAUAGCGACGCGAACCCUCCGUUCGCUGGAGCUUCUUAGAGGGACAACUUGUCUUCAACAAGUGGAAGUUCGCGGCAAUAACAGGUCUGUGAUGCCCUUAGAUGUUCUGG
rnacentral:rRNA from 1 species